rnacentral:lncRNA from 1 species
AGCUCAUAAAAACAACUCUCAGUUAUCUAACCUCUACAAGCAACAUUUUGGGUCAUUGUGAGACUUGAGGUAAUUGCCAUUUACCAGUUACAGAUAUAAGAUGUUCGUGGUCUGUUUAUUCCUCUCAGUAAAACAUCUGUCAUAUCAUAGCCUGGGUGCUUGCAUAAUUUGGAACUGUUGCCAAUCAACUUAGAUGCCUAGUCUUCAUGUUUCUCUGUGGCCAAAAGCCAACGCAAGUGUCACUUUCCCACAGAGUAUCUUGAACCAUCCAAACCACAAACAUCUCCAGCACAUGGUUUCCAUUAUAACAAUCCUGGGUAUCUGUCAAAAGUGAAGAGCAGGAGGUUGUAACUCUGAGGAGAGAAGACAGACUGGAGAGCCAAUCAAAUUUCAAACUAUACUUUGCUGUGGGCAUGGAUGGAGAAGCAGGUCACAUCUGAUGAAUGAAGAGGAGCUUCCAAGCAGCCAAAGUAAAGUAUUUUGCUACACAAACUGCAGGAUCAAUGUUCGUGUUUUGAAGCUCAAGAGAUUGACAGCUGUAGAAAUUAAGUUCCAGAAUAUAUCCACCAGCCAGGUUCAUAAUUGUCUCAGAAGUGGCCCUGGGAAACCCAAACAGCUCCAAGGACCACUAUACCAGGCCACUCCGCUUCUCUAAUAAAAUAUUUCUACCACUACUCUUAAAAUUUGUUUUUAAAAUUUAAUUUUUA